GCCCUCGCCCGCCCCCCGGGCCGGGGUGGAGCGCAAUGCGGGCGCCGCGGAGGCGGAGGCGCCAGGACGGCCGCGGCCAACUCUGCUCGAGCUGCUCACCUGCGCCCCUGCCCACAGCGCUCCGCAGUCUGGAGCGCUCCGCCCCGCGGGGAACGCCCCGGGCCCCUCGGGGUCCCCCGGUCUCUCCCACUUCCCUUCUGGAAGUGGCCAACGCUUCUGGGCCGCCCGGGUGGACCUCAAAGAGAACGUCUUUAAAUGUCCUGUGGCCAGGGGUUCUGUAACCGACUAGGAAUCAGCGUCCGAAUCGGAACAACUUCUCUAGACCUCUUUUCAGGGGGCGUCCAGUGAGUUUUUUUCAGCAAGGUGACUCCCCCUGUGACUGCCUGCUACUACAGCUGGAAAGGUCCAAUCUGAAAUGUGACUAAUCUGGGUUUCUUCACGAAGCAUGUGAAUUAGGGGUGGAGAACUAGAACCUAGAACCCUGAAUUCGGAGCCUGGAACAUAGGGGCCUCCUGUGGGCAGAAGUGCGGACAAGGAGCUUUGUUCCUCCCCCAUGUCACCCUCCCAUGGCCCACUUGCUAGCCAUGGUAAGGGGAAAGAGGGGUGGAGGCCGCAGGAAGGCAGGUAGUGAACUGGACCUCUGGUGGAAAGGCAUCACCCACGCUGGGCUUGACUAUGGAAAUGAUAAUUAGACAAAAAGCAAAUUCGAGCAAUUUUCUUAUUUGAGAAAGCAACAGAGACAACUCGCAACAUCAACAAUGCAUUUGGCCCAGGAACUGCUAACAAUCAUUCAGUGCAGUCAUGGUUCAAAACAUUUUGCAAAGCAGAUGAGAGCCUUGAAGAUAAGGAGCAUAGUGGCCAGCCAUCAGAAGUUGACAAUGACCAAUUGAGAACAAUCAUCCAAGCUGAACCUCAGGCAUUUGGCAUUUGAAGCAAAUUGGAAAGGUGAAAAAGCUCGGUAAGUGGGUGCCUCAUGACCUGAGCAAAAAUUUUUAAAAAUCAUCAUUUUGAAGUGUGAUCUUCUCCUAUUCUAUGCACAAUGAACCAUUUCUUCAUCAGAUUGUGACGUGCAAUGAAAAGUGGAUUUUACAGAAAAUGGUGGCAACCAGCUCAGUGGUUGGACUGAGAAACAGCUCCAAAGCACUUUGCAAAGCCAAACUUGCACCAAUAAAGGUCAUGGUCACUGUUUGGUGGUCUGCUGCUGGUCUGAUCCACUACAGCUUUCUGAAUCCUGGUGAAACCAUUACAUCUGAGAAGCAUGUUCAGCAGAUCGAUGAGAUGCACAAAAACCUGCAGCACCUGCAGUCGGCAUUGGUCAACAGAAGCGGCCCAGUUCUUCUCCACAACAACACUCAACUGCACAUCACACAACCAACGCUUCAAAAGUCAAACGAACUGGGCUACAAAGUUUUGCCUCAUUCACCAUAUUCACCUGACCCUUCGCCAACUGACUACCACUUCAAGCAUCUUGACAACUUUUUGUGGUGAAAAUGCUUCCACAAGGAGCAGGAUACAGAAAAUGCUUUCCAAGAGUUCAUAGAAUCCCGAAGCACAGGUUGUUUUGUUUGUUUGUUCUGUGACGGAGUCUC